UACAGAGGUCCCAAGCGUUGUUCGGAUUCACUGGGCGUAAAGGGUGCGUCGGCGGUCGGGUAAGUCUGAUGUGAAAUCUCACAGCUUAACUGUGAAACUGCAUUGGAUACUAUCCGGCUAGAGGAAUGGAGGGGAGACUGGAAUACUUGGUGUAGCAGUGAAAUGCGUAGAUAUCAAGUGGAACACCAGUGGCGAAGGCGAGUCUCUGGACAUUUCCUGACGCUGAGGCACGAAAGCCAGGGGAGCAAACGGG
rnacentral:rRNA from 1 species